GGCCCUAUGGCGCAACGGUAGCGCGUCAGAUUCCAGUGCACUCUGGAAAUACCUGAAGGCUUUGUGUUCGAAUCACAAUGGGGUCA